rnacentral:rRNA from 1 species
AUGUCUAUGAGGAUUUUCGAGUAUGUAAAGGAAGUCGAUUUUUAUCCCAAUGCCUCUAUUGCUUACAUCUUAUUUACAGCGCAUGUAACUGUCGCAUCGGUUGAAAUAAGUUUUUCAGAGUUAAAAGUAUUGAAUAACUAUUUGAGAUCAACAAUGACUCAAGACAUUUUAAAUGGCUUGACAACAUGAUGCAUUGAGAAUAAAUUAUCGGAUGAUAUUGCCAUCAACCCGAUCAUAAGUGACUUUGCAUCAAAGAUUCUUUUAUUAAAGGUAACAUGUACAAUUAUUUCAUCUAUACAUUGUUUUUGA